AACCCGUGAUGUGGACAGAUAUUUAUCAAAUCCUUGAACCUCUCCCAACAAGCCUGGAAAGUCUCGUCACUUUUCUAUAUGAACUGAUUGAUAUGCUCUUACAAGAAC